rnacentral:rRNA from 1 species
UGAACGCUGCGGCGUGCCUAAUACAUGCAAGUCGAACGGAAUUUAAAAGAGCUUGCUCCUUUGAAUUUAGUGGCGCACGGGUGAGUAAUAUAUAGCUAAUCUGCCCCUUGCUGGAGGACAACAGUUAGAAAUGACUGCUAAUACUCCAUACUCCUUUUUACCAUAAGAUAAAUCGGGAAAGAAUUUCGGCAAGGGAUGAGACUAUAUCGUAUCAGCUAGUCGGUGGGGUAACGGCCUACCGAGGCUAUGACGCGUAACUGGUCUGAGAGGAUGAUCAGUCACAUUGGAACUGAGACACGGUCCAAACUCCUACGGGAGGCAGCAGAAGGGAAUAUUGCGCAAUGGGGGAAACCCUGACGCAGCAACGCCGCGUGGAGGAUGACACUUUUCGGAGCGUAAACUCCUUUUGUUAGGGAAGAAUAAUGACGGUACCUAACGAAUAAGCACCGGCUAA